CCUACGGGGGGCAGCAGUGGGGAAUAUUGCACAAUGGGGGAAACCCUGAUGCAGCGACGCCGCGUGAGUGAAGAAGUAAUUCGUUAUGUAAAGCUCUAUCAGCAGGGAAGAAAAUGACGGUACCUGAGUAAGAAGCCCCGGCUAACUACGUGCCAGCAGCCGCGGUAAUACGUAGGGGGCAAGCGUUAUCCGGAUUUACUGGGUGGAAAGGGAGCGUAGACGGCAGUGCAAGUCUGCAGUGAAAGGCGGGGGCUCAACCCCCGGACUGCUCUGGAAACUGUACGGCUGGAGUGCAGGAGAGGUAAGUGGAAUUCCUAGUGUAGCGGUGAAAUGCGUAGAUAUUAGGAGGAACACCAGUGGCGAAGGCGGCUUACUGGACUGUAACUGACGUUGAGGCUCGAAAGCGUGGGGAGCAAACAGGAUUAGAUACCCUAGUAGUC
rnacentral:rRNA from 1 species